UCUUUUUGAAUAAAUAGAAAGUUGUACCUGCCCACUGAUAUUUAUUGAAGGGCCGCGGUAUUUUGACCGUGCAAAGGUAGCAUAAUCAUUAGUUUUUUAAUUGGAAACUGGAAUGAAUGGUUUGACGAGAUAAUGACUGUCUUGUAGUUAUGAAUUGAAUUUUACUUUUGAGUUAAAAGGCUCAAAUGAAUAUAAGGGACGAGAAGACCCUAUAGAUCUUUACAUUUAAUUUUUUUUUUAUUAAUUUGGAUGUAUAUUUAAUACAUAUUAAUUAUUUGUUUUGUUGGGGUGACAUGAGAAUAUAAAAACUUCUUAAUAUUAAACUUUGAUAAAUGGGAAAAUGAUCCUUUAUUUUGGAAUUAAGAUUAAGAUACCUUAGGGAUAACAGCGUAAUUUUGUUGGAGAGUUCUUAUCAAUAAUAAAGAUUGCGACCUCGAUGUUGGAUUAAGAUUAAAUUAUGGUGAAGGUGCUUUAUUUUUUGGUCUGUUC
rnacentral:rRNA from 1 species